GAUGAACGCUGGCGGCGUGCCUAAUACAUGCAAGUCGAGCGAACGGACGAGAAGCUUGCUUCUCUGAUGUUAGCGGCGGACGGGUGAGUAACACGUGGAUAACCUACCUAUAAGACUGGGAUAACUUCGGGAAACCGGAGCUAAUACCGGAUGAUAUUUUGAACCGCAUGGUUCAAAAGUGAAAGACGGUCUUGCUGUCACUUAUAGAUGGAUCCGCGCUGCAUUAGCUAGUUGGUAAGGUAACGGCUUACCAAGGCAACGAUGCAUAGCCGACCUGAGAGGAUGAUCGGCCACACUGGAACUGAGACACGGUCCAGACUCCUACGGGAGGCAGCAGUAGGGAAUCUUCCGCAAUGGGCGAAAGCCUGACGGAGCAACGCCGCGUGAGUGAUGAAGGUCUUCGGAUCGUAAAACUCUGUUAGUAGGGAAGAACAUAUGUGUAAGUAACUGUGCACAUCUUGACGGUACCUAAUCAGAAAGCCACGGCUAACUACGUG
rnacentral:rRNA from 1 species